rnacentral:rRNA from 1 species
UACGAAGGGGGCUAGCGUUGCUCGGAAUCACUGGGCGUAAAGCGCACGUAGGCGGCUUUUUAAGUCAGGGGUGAAAUCCUGGAGCUCAACUCCAGAACUGCCUUUGAUACUGAGAAGCUUGAGUUCGGGAGAGGUGAGUGGAACUGCGAGUGUAGAGGUGAAAUUCGUAGAUAUUCGCAAGAACACCAGUGGCGAAGGCGGCUUUCUGGUCUGUAACUGACGCUGAGGCGCGAAAGCGUGGGGAGCAAACAGG